rnacentral:lncRNA from 1 species
GGGGGAUGCUUCCUGCAAGGAAACCCUGCAAAAAGGCAUCGAGGGCAGCUCCAUCAGGCUCAGGUUAUGAAGAGUUAAUAGGACAAGAGAGAUUAAAAAGCAUGAAUCACGUCUUCAUAGCACUCCUUGAAGGACUUCCAAAAAACGUGAGAAGGGAGAACAUCUCCGGCAGCCGUGGCGAGGAGGAGGAGCGCAUUCCCCAGCAGCCACUGUGCAGAAAGCCUGGAGACAAACUGCUCCCCACCCUGCUCUUCUCUGGGAUGAUCCAUGGCAGCUUUCACCUCUUCGUGUCUCUAUUUCCUCAAAAAAAGAAGGGGAGCUGGGGAAAUCCAGGCACGCCCCAUGUGCCAGAGCAUCCACGCUCUGCCCCCGCGCCAGCCGCAGGCGAUGCUGCUGCAGAGCUCGCUGUGCUCUGCGGUGUCUCUUCCAAACAACCCCAGCAGCCUGGCUUUAAAAUUAUGUCUUUAAACAUAUUUAUACAAGCCACAUAUAUUUUACAUGCCUGCACAAUGCAUUUUAUGAAGCAUAUAAAAAAAGCAGAUAGAAAUUAUCUAUUUCUCCCAUACAGCUUGUCUCUUUUUGGGGGGAGAGAUAACAAGGACCUAUUUCAUUUUGCUGUUUGCUGCAGGAUGCCAUGCAAUAAAUUGAGAAGCGAAGUUUUGAAAAAUGCUCCUUUUUUUUUCUUUUUUUUUUCCUUUUUAAUGCCAUUCUAAGCUGGAAAGCCCUAGCAAACGGAAAACAUUAUUUGCAGGCUAUCAGCCCAGAGUCCCUUUUGCUCCUCUCUCUUGUUUGCUCACUGAAAUGAAUGGGCUCUUUUGGCAGCGAGGAUCAUAACGUUAAUCGGAACUAAAGAGCAUUGUGUUUGCAAAGAAUCAAAGAUCUUCCCCUUUGCAAACUUUGCAAACCAGUUCUUCAGAUAUUUGGGAACAAUUAGAUCAAGCCCAGGCGCGAGCUGCUGCCGGGCGCUGAUCGGCAGCGCUCCUCUUCAUCAAAUAUUCAGCACGGAUAUUUCAUUAUCAGCCUAAUUCAUACACCGCGUCCACGGCUGGGUGGUUUUAGAAAUUAAACUGUACUUUCACCUCGAACGAAUGCAGGCGGUGGCAGGCGGCGAGGAGGAGAGCGGCAGCCCUCCCGGGUGGGAUGGGAGGGGGCUGCAGCAAGCGGGGCCGUGCGUGGCUUCACCUUUCCUAAGCAAAAAAUUAAUCGCAUCCAGAGCGAGAGGGUGAAUAAAGCCAGCAAGCUGUGCA